rnacentral:lncRNA from 1 species
UGCAAUGACGUCUCCCUCCGCCGCCUCCGGAUCCCUCCGCCCUCCGCCGCUACCACAGUGUAUAGAGACAACAUUACCCAAGAGGUCAUGGCAGAAUCAACAGCUUGUUUUGUUUUCUUUAAACCGGGACCAAAAAUAAUUCCCCUCUGGUUGGUUCAGUGGCUUAUUAACUCUGGUACUUGGGGCAAGAAGAGUGAGAGGAUCGCACGAUCUUCUAAGGCAGCCUUGAAUACUGAGGCCCACACAACAAUCUCCUGAAAUGGUUCCUUGAAGCUACCAGAUAGUCUUUCUGCUUUGCAGUGGGGUUUCUAGUAUUGGAAAUUCUGGGCAAAUAUUAAAGGAUGGUGUAUUAUGCAG